GCCUGUGUGAGCCUCUUUGAGACCAUGCGGUUAGUUCAGGUGGAGGUGUGGGCAUGGCUGUCAGGUGGAUGUUCCUAGCCUAUGGUGAGAGGGAGGAAGAAGAGGGAGAAGGAGCGGCCAUUUUUGUAGUUCAGAUGGCGCCAAAGGAGGGCUUCAGUCUGAAGAUUGCAGUGGUCCUGGAGAUUCCAAUGAGGUCACAAGGUCAACACACCCCCGGCUCUGGCAGGGUUAGGUGGAGAAUGUUAUGAAGCUUAUUUGUCCUGAUUGGAGUCUGGUGCACUGGCCUGGGGGUGUGCCAACAUUGUGGACCCUCUCACCGAUCCUGUGUAGGUUGUGUUGUGGUUUGCAGCUGGGAUGCUGGCUGGCUGGACAUGAUGAGUGAGUGGGGUGUCCAUUACACCCCCC